AACGAACGCUGGCGGCGCGCCUAAUACAUGCAAGUCGAGCGAGAAGACGUAGCAAUACGUUUGUAAAGCGGCGAACGGGUGAGGAAUACAUGGGUAACCUACCCUCGAGUGGGGAAGUAACUAGCCGAAGGUUAGCUAAUACCGCGUACGCUUCUUGGACUUCGGUUCAGGGAGGAAAGCGAUACCGUGGUAUCGCGCUCUUGGAUGGGCUCAUGUCCUAUCAGCUUGNGGUUGAGGUAACGGCUCACCAAGGCUUCGACGGGUAGCUGGUCUGAGAGGACGAUCAGCCACACUGGCACUGCGACACGGGCCAGACUCCUACGGGAGGCAGCAGUAAGGAAUAUUGCGCAAUGGGCGAAAGCCUGACGCAGCGACGCCGCGUGUGGGA
rnacentral:rRNA from 1 species